rnacentral:rRNA from 1 species
GACGAACGCUGGCGGCGUGCUUAACACAUGCAAGUCGAACGGUGAAGCGCCUUCCUUUUUGGUGGGUGUGGAUGAGUGGCGAACGGGUGAGUAACACGUGAGUAACCUGCCCCCUUCUUCUGGAUAACCGCAUGAAAGUGUGGCUAAUACGGGAUAUUCUGGGUCUGUCGCAUGAUGGGUCUGGGAAAGAUAUUGUUUCGGUGGGGGAUGGGCUCGCGGCCUAUCAGCUUGUUGGUGGGGUGAUGGCCUACCAAGGCGGUGACGGGUAGCCGGCCUGAGAGGGUGGACGGUCACACUGGGACUGAGGCACGGCCCAGACUCCUACGGGAGGCAGCAGUGGGGAAUAUUGCACAAUGGGCGAAAGCCUGAUGCAGCGACGCCGCGUGAGGGAUGGAGGCCUGCGGGUUGUGAACCUCUUUCGCCAGUGAAGCAGGCCUGCCUCGUUUGUGGGUGGGUUGACGGUAGCUGGAUAAGAAGCGCCGGCUAACUACGUG